rnacentral:lncRNA from 1 species
CCCUGGGCUUGGCUAGGUUGCUUGGUGAGGAGGGGCCACCAUUGUGAUGACAUGGUCGCAGGGAGCAGGCAAGAAUAUGAGCUGUCCCAGUAUGCAUGCAGCCUGUGGAUUGUACAUGCUUGGACUAAAUGGACCAUUUAGAGAGAUGGUCCAUAGGUUACAGGUACUGCCCCACUUCAUCACAAUGCCUGGGUGAGUCCUGAACCCUACAGGGCACCUGCAGGAACAUUAUGAGAGAGUGAAGGUCAACAACUGCCACACAUGGAUUAAGCCCGUCUGAAUCACCUGACAUGCUGAAAACCAAUGCAGAUGUGAAGAAACAGAAAUAAACUGUUUAUCAGAGAGACUAAACAACAAUCUAGUUUUAGUCGUGGUACCUAUGUAUAAAUACACAACCAUCUUCUGAGCAAUACUGCACACAGAUGCUGUACGCACGUUCCUCAGGAUUGUCUUGUACCAACCACUGUGCUUCACUUCUGUGUCUGGAGAGCAACUGACAUAAUGAGCAUGAGCACCCUGUCGACAACUAAGAAAGUCUCCUACUGCAUAUGUGUACUACCAAAGAUGAUGCUUAACAUAGAGAAGAACAUGCAUCAGUAAGUGUAGAAAAGUCACAACUGAGUAAGUAGUUUUCCUGUCCUAUAAACACUUUUUUCCUGAAAAACACCAUAUAAAUUUGUAAGUGCAUGUGAUAACUAACAUUAUCUCACAUUUACUUGAUGCAAUUGUUGCUUUUCACACUUGCUAGAAACAACUACUUUGUUUUGUUGCUAGUAAAACUGUGGGAGCUCUACCUCAGGGACAGAUAAAGUACUGGGUGAAGUUUUGCAGGAAUAAAGGUAUAUUUUGAUUAGUUACAUAGAAAGAUCUAGGUUUGCCCUAGAAAUCAAUGGGAUGUAGCUUGCAUUUUUAUUAGCUUGCUUGCUGGCAACUUCUUCCUGUCUGUAUGGAUAUUCCCCCACAGGCUGUGUUUGAAUUCACAGAAGGCUGUGAAAGGCCUUGAAGAAGCUGCUACUCUGCUGUAAGAGAGCAUUUGUGUAAAUACUCUUGACUGAGGCAGACGUCUAGAUCGGGCCCUGGUUUCCCCUCUAUUUCCACAGCAGAGGAUUUUAAACCAGCAUUCAAAGGAACUUUCUGUCUACGUGAUAGCUCAGCUAUCACAUAUCUAGAACUGCAAAAUUCAAUACUCUGCUUUCCUGUUCAUUCCUUAUUAUGUUGCUGAGAGUAUUAGUUAGCUUUAGUCGUAAAGUGGCUUUAAGGUUGGACUAUGAAAAGACACCAUAAACUGCAUCCAUAUCAGACAGAGCCAGCUUGCAAUUGUUUACAAAAGGGACCUGCUGCUGGCCAGAGCUGAGCCAAUAAGCAAUGCCAGUGGUACCUCUGUAAGAUCAGGUUUAAAGAAAGGUACAAUGUACCGUGUAGCUUUGUGAGAGAAGAGUGAGAAAAAUGUGAUAGAAACAGCCCCACAGACACAAAGGUCAGUGAAGAACUGGGAAGAGGGUUGGAGCACAGAUUCCUCUACAGAAUACCAAGGUAAAGCAGAUUGUCCCUUGGUAUCUCAUGGAAGAGUACCUGGAGGAGCAGGUGGUUGUGUCCUUAAGGAAACUGCAGUCCAUGAGGAACCCACACAGGGGAAAGUUUUCUGUCAGGAACUGAAUGUCCCAUGAGGUCCACACCAGCGCAGUCUGUUCCUGGUGAAACGUAACUUGUGGAAACAACAAAUGCUGGAGCAGUUCAUAAGGAAUUGCAUCCAAUGGGAGAGACUACAAGCCCCAUUUUCCAUUGCCCAUGCCACUCAGAGGACAAGGAAGUAGAUCAGUAGGGAAUGAAAGAAUGAAGUUGAACCAUCAAAUAAGGGGGCUAUGGGAAAGGUGUUUUGGUUGUGAUUGUUUGUUGUUUAUCUCAAUAUCCUAAAAAUAGAUUUAAUUGGUAAAUUAAUUUUUUAUUCCCUAAGUUGAAUCUGUUUUGCUCUUCACAAUAAUUGGCGAGUGAUCUCCGUGUUCUUACUUCCUGGAGAAAACAGAAUGGGGAUCUUAUCAACACUUAUAAAUAUCUUAAAAGGCAGCUGUCAAGUGCAUGGGGCAGGCUCUUUUCAGUGGUGCCCAGCAACAGAAUAAGGGGCAACAAACAGAAACUGGAACACAGGAAGUUUCAUCUGAACAUGAGGAAAAACUUCUUUACUGUGAAGAUUACAAAGCACUGGAACAGACUGCCCAGAGAGGUUGCAGACUUGCUUCUGGAGAUAUUCAAAACCCACCUGAAUGCUUUCCUCUGCAACACGUUGUGGGGAACCUGCUUUAGCAGGGUGUUGGACUAGGUAAUCUCCAGAGGUCUUUUCCAGCCCCUACCAUUCUGUGAUUCUGUAAUUUGACCAAUGAGAUUAUUUGUUCUGUCUGUCCUACUGAAGAGGGGGAGGGAGUGAGCACCUGGCUCCAUGCCAUGGCUAACUCAACACACUGAAGCAGAAUUAUAAUGGCAGGUGCACUCUUUUAUUAAACAGUUACUUAUUUUUGUACAAAAAUAUGAUGCACUUGCAUUGUACUUCCACUAUAGCCUAAAGGUACUAAUUUGCAUUUAUAUAUUCUGGAAAAAAAAAAAAUUGAUAACUGAUUGUAUUGUCUGACUGUAACCGAAUUGAAAUUCUUGAUCAGUGAGAGGAUUACUUUAUUUUCUGAAGUUUCUGCUUGAUUUUUUUUUUUGCAAUGUAGAAAUCUCUCAUCUCUAAUUGAUGUCUGAUUUCUUUUCUAUAAAUGUCUUCUGCUCAAAAGUCUUCAUUGCAGGCUUUCUGUAAAUUGUGUGCAUUGAUUGUGAAGUUCUUGUCCUUAUUUCCAAAGCCCUGAGUGGCUAUGGUAUUGGACUAAUUUUCUCUUCUGCAUUUUCUAAGCUGUUAAUUACAGUCUGAAUCAUAAGGUUACUUUUUUUUCUGUACUGUAAUUUGGUGAGCUGUGAGUCAUGAAGUUUUUGUAGCUCUGUCCUUUCAACGAUAUUGCAGGAUCCUUUCCUGCUGCCCACUUGGUGUCCUUAUUUAAAAAUAACAUUGAAGAAAGAAGCUUUUGCUUCUACUUUUAACUUGCUAGUUAGUUGUACUUGUUCAGUGCUUCAAGACUUUUUUUUUUGUUAAGGAUAAUAUGCUAGGUUAGUGAGUUCCCCAAGGUACUAGCUGAAAUACAAAUGGUUAUUAAUAAUAUGUAUGUAGUAAUAAACUGAAAAUGGCUCACUAAAAUGUUUUCUGGGCAGAUUUUCAGGUAGAAUAUUGUGCAGUAAAAUAACAAUUCCUUUUAUUUACGGUUAUUACUGUGAUUUUACUAGUAUAUUUUUAUACAAUUAAUGCAAAGUAAAUGACAUGUGUAUGUGAAGGAAAUUGAUUCCUCAUAGCCUAUGCACUUAUCUCUCUUUGACUGCAAAAUUGGGUUUGAUUAUUGUGUUUAAGAUAAGAAAAUGUUGUUUGUUUGUUUUCUUUUUAAAGUCAUAUCUCAUUGACAUAUCCAAAUAUUUAAAAUUUUGUCAUUACUUUUUACUCAGAAAAAUAUUGGAAUAUUUCCCAUUGCUAGAGAGUCAUUCAGACAAAUGUGAGAGUUUUGAGUAGCAAUUGCCACAGAUAGCUGAGUUCCAUGUAUUUGAUUUUUUCCCCCACUAGAAGAGGAAAUAUGAUUGAUUACUACUAGAGAAUGAAGCAGAGGGACUGGCUGAUUUAUGUGAAAGACUUCUGAUUAAAAAUACACAUAAACCUAAAACUCCUCAAAAUAGAUUUCAUAACUCAUAAUUCAAAUUACCCUUUUCUUCUAAGACUGACAGAAAAAAAUAUUUGAUUUUAACCACUUGGGAGGAGAAUUCUUUUGUGGAGUUUUCUUCUUUAAUUUUUUAUAUUUCUAUUCUGUAUGUUCUCAAGCCAUGUAUUAGUUGUAGGAACAGUGAACUAUUGUUAUAGAAUUCCUCAUGUUGGAAAAGACAUUUAAGGUUAUAUUAAACAAACAAAGCAAAACAAUUAAUGAUGUGAGACUCAUGAAAAAUGUGAUAAUUGGCAGCAGUGGAACACAGAAACCAGGACACAUACAUUUCUAUCGUGUCAUAAUAGUCCCCUGCACCCUUCUUUCAUUAUUUUAAGCCUCAGCGUAGGAACCCUCAUAUUUCACUUGACUAACAUUUUCUUCUCUAAAAGAUGUUUCUGUUCCUCUUGAACAGCUUUGACAUUUCCAUUAUUAGCAACAGGCCUCUGCAACUGGUGAAGUGAGAUGCUGGGGGCUAGAGGUGGACUGUGCUUCUUUCGCAGGAAGUUCUGCUGGGUUUGUCUAGGGGCAGAGGCAUAUAAACGAUUCAUCAGAGGUUAAAAAGGUUGCUUGGGUCAGCUGACCCACAGUAAAUAUGCAUCUUAGCUCAGGGCAAAAGUAAAAUAGUUCGACUUUCUUUAAGGAAAGCAAACUUGGUAAACCAUACGUACUUGUAUGGAUACACCACACACUGGCCAACAAUUUGUGUGGACUACUGCACAUGUUUGAAUUGUUCAGCUGUGUAAAAUCAUUUGUCUGUUUGGAUUUUCUGUCUUGCAUUUUCCUCCCAAAGGGACCGUGUGUAGAAACCCUCCAAGGAGCUAUUUCUGUGCUCUGAUUUAUAUUGCAUAAUUAUACACAAUGUUGGGAAUAUUUGAUAGCUGCUGGAACAGCUCUGUUGAUCUGAGUACAUGAGUCUCACUUCUGGCAGCAGUGCCUCCUCUGUACCAGUGACUCUUCUCACAUGGCAGCUCUGCCCAUCUUGUAGUAUCACACUUCUGCUCCUGCCAACUGGCAUGAAUGGUCUUGUGUCUCAUGCUGAAUACUUAGCACUCAGACCCUUCGUGUGCACAUAGUAGAUAUUGGGGCUAAAAUCUGUGAAGAUGAUAUUCUUAUGGCUGCAUGGUUUUCUUUCAACUGUUUCAGUCUCCCUUUUGAAACUACAUUUUUGCAGCUCUCAUUCUAUUUGUUUCUUAUGUGAAAUUCAAAAGAAGUUAUCUUGGGGCCUCAGUUGCCUACACAUCACCUUGUUUAGUUUCAGAAAUGUUCUCUCUUUCAAAAAAAUAAUUUAUGAUUCAAAAGGUGGCUUCUUAGUCAAAGGUCACACUACUCUGUCCAAAAAAAAAAAAAAAAAAAAAAAAUCUAUAGGUUACAGUGUCUGGAAUCAAUCACUGAAGAAUCCAAGAAUCCAUCUCUCUUUGCAUGGCCAAACUGAUCUCUCUUUUGUUGGUUUAGCAGCACGUGGAGUCUAAUAUAUAUAAUAUAUAUCUUCCCAGUUUGGGAGCUCAAUCUUGCACAGUUUGGGCUGUCAGAAUCUGUUGUGUGAAGAUGUCAUAUACCUUACUUGUGGGAGAGUAUUGUAUGUAUUUGAGAAUUGCUGGAAAUUUACAUCCCUCAGAAAAAGAAAUCUGCUGCUUGAGGAACUUGGGAAGAAGGCAGAGGAAAGGAAUAUCUCUGGUAACGUUCUCUGGAAAGAUCAUAAUACUCUACGCAGGAGCAAUGAGAGAGGCAAGGUAAAGCAGAGUUUCUAUACCUGAGAAGAUGAUAUAAGAAAACAAGCUGCAGGUUCACCCAGGGGCAGCCCUUAGCUCUGGUAUAAGGAGAAACUGUAUGGUUUUCACCAGAGCCUAAAGGAAACCAUGUAUCCAAAAAAGGAACAAAUUGGUUCUAUGCAGGACAGAAAACCUUUGGAGUCAAUAGCAGGCAGCAUGAAUGUCUAGCUGUAAAUGUAGACACUGAUUUAUCAGAGAUAUAGUGGAAAGAAGAGAGUUAGCAGGGUACUUUACUAACAGGAAAGAAAACAUAUAUGAAAGGUGAACAGAGAUGUAUUUCAUGUUAGAGACACUUGACAAUCUAGCUGCAUUAAUGCCUCAGUGCACAGCACAAAAUUCAAGCUAGAGUUAAAUCCUACUUUCAGCACAAAAGGAGCAAAAAUCCUUCCAGAGAUCAUGUCAGCUGAGGACCUAACUAAAGAAAAGAGUACUUGGAGAGGUCGCUGUAGUUAUAUUAAAACAAUUUUGCUGGUCUCUGUUUCAGGUAGGAAAAUGGAAAGUCUUCUGUACCAGAACCUUUACUAGAAUCUUUUUUUUUUUUUUUUUUUUUUUUUUUUUUUAGAGAAGAAAAAGGAUCAAUAACAAUCUUCUACAGAAAAUGUGUUAGUAGUUGUUCACAAACAUGGAAAAUUGUGUCUAAAAAUCAUCAGGAUUGGAUGGUAUUCAGCCAAGAACUUUAAGGCAACUUGAGGACAAAACAUCUAAAUUACUGGCUACAUAUAGUUAAUGGCAAGGAUAAAUAACUGUGUGCAACCUUUUGCCUAAGUAUUCUUUGAAAGCAGGUUUCUAGAGGGUGGUAAGUAUAAUUCUAAUUUGGAAACUUCAGGCCUGCAAGCCUAAUGUCUGUAUAGUAGAAGACAAUUCAUGGAUACCUGAGUAAACAUAAGCUGCUUUGGUAAAGUCUUCUGAAAAGUAAGGAUCAUCUUUAGAACUUCUAAUAUUUUUUUUCAGGAAGUCAAUGAGCUUGUAGCUAGUGAUGAUCUGUUUGACAUGAUUUUGGUUUUUGAAAAAAAGCUUUGACAAAUUCCUAACGUUAAGCUUGUAAUGUACUUAAGUGGCCAUGGCACAGGAGGGGAAAAAAUUGGCAUAGAUUAGGAAGAAAGUGAAAAAUAGUAAACAGAUUUUUUUAAUAGUGUUUUUGUUUGUUUUGUUAGAUAAAAAUUGCUGGUGGUGGGAGGGCUCUGUGCUAGGGUAAAUGUAUUCACAGAUCACUAGAAAAGUAAGUUAGCAGUAAAAUGACAAAAUGUGAUGAUGGUACUAGGUUUUUCAGGGUAGGUAGGAUGAGAACUGGAACUGAAAAAUUGCCAGAAGAUAUUAGGAAACAGCAUGACUGGACAACAAAAUGGCAGGUCAAAUGCAUUGUAGAUCUAUAUUAAUGCACACCCAGAGAACGAACUCUGUCUUCAUAGGGAAAGACUCUGUGCUGGUCACCAUUACUAGGGAGUGAUACCUGAGAUCUCUGCUAAAAAGAAUUUUCUGACUAGUAUUUAUCUUCGUUAUGUAUUCCCAAAAGAUGUUGCAGAGAUGCAAAACUUUGUGUAGCCUCAAAGGAGUGAUUGAACAAAUACUUAGAAUGAAUGUUUAUUGUUGAUUACUAAACAGACAAACUGCAACAUGCUCAGGAAAUCUCCUGAACCAUAACUGAUCAGAGGACAGGAAAGCAACAGACCAAAAAUUACAAAGAUUUGCUCUGUUGUUACUCUUCUCUAAAAGAGUAGUUAUUCUGUAGUAUUCUUGCUCAUAGCUACUAUCAGAGAUGAAAUAGUCUAGACAGACCCUUGUUUUCAUCCUGUAGGGCUACUCUUUUUAUGUGUUUGUUGUUGUUGUUUGUUUUGUUUUGUUUUGUUUUUAACUUUUGGAAGAUUCUUAGAGUACAUCAAGACAUUGAUGUAACAAUGACAUAGAGACACAAGACAUCUUUACCUUGUCCUGCUGUUUUGGCCCUAGAUGAAGAGAUUAUAGCACACAUUAGUGCCAUACUCUCCCAUGCUUGCCAUACUAACAGUUACUUGCACAAACAAGUGGAUGGCACAGAGCUGCCCACAUCAAAUCUGUGCUGCUUUGGAUCUCUCAGAGUUGAUAAAUGCUCGUGGGUAGGUCAUUUCCAAAUAGUACUGGCUGUUUGAUUUUCAUAUUUUGAUUUUCGUAUUUUAUAUGAAAAGUCAGAUAUGUACUCUUAUUUAUAAGCCUCUUGUAUUAAAAUUCAUUUUUAUUUUUCCCACCAACUUUCAGAAGAGAAAGUCUUGAUGCCAAUAGCUCAAAUAUCUGAAAAUCAGGAAAAAUUAGAAAAAGUAGUAGCUGGUUUCUGAAAGCUAUGGGAUUCCAUAUUUAGACUUUUCUUUGUGUGUGUGAAUCUGGUUUCUACCUUAAUUCUAGGGUGGAUAUUACACUUCGUAAAAAAAAAAAAAAAAAAAAAAAAAAGCAGGUACGUUUUUUUCACUGUUUAUUUGAGCUCCAAGGUAAUAAUCUAUAUUAACUGUUUUAUACCUUUGAGUCAGGAAGGCACUCUAUGGUUGACUGUUAUUGAGAUCUUUCAGAUAAGCUGUACAUUUGCACUCAUUAUAAAUUAUUUCACAAGGAGAAUGAGAUCAGGUUUGAAACAGAAUUUCUUACAACCACAUAAUAACUUAUCAGUCUUAUUGACAAGCAUUUUGCAAAACAAUAGUAUUGUGCACAGCUUAUGUAUGAGCAAAUAGAAUUACUGCUAACAUCUUUUAAGGCACUUGUCACACACUUUCCCCUCAGUCAAACACUGUUAGCUCACUAAUCAAUCUGCUUGUCAAAAAUGCUCUUCUUUGGCAGAAGAGACUGAGAAGUUUGACAAACUGCAUUAAGUUGGUGAUGUUGAUUAAUGCUUUUCAGUUAGUAGCAUUUUGUUGAACACUAUAAAUUAAGAAUUUUGAUGACAGCUGGCUUUUCAUAAAUUACAUACAAGAGGAGCUUAUCAUUGCAAUGAAGCAAUUUAUUUUUCCUUUCCAAGAUUUCUUAUGACUGCUUCAUGUGAGUUUCUGUUGCGUAAAUUCUUUAUUUCUUUUCUUUCAACUGUUAAAAUGUAAAUAGCACACUUUGAACUCAGUAAUCCUUGGUGAAAAAGAAAGAAAGAAGAGAAAGAAGCUUGAUUCUGAAGCUGCUGAUUUUUCUUGAUUUUUUUUCAAAGCCAAAGAACUGUAAGGACAAAACUGAAGAGGUAUAAGCCUUUUCAGUAUUUUUGCAUAUCUCAAAUGUUUGUCAUUUUCUGUAAGAGAUUUGCUAAUGCAAGGAACUCACAUACAAGCAAUAGUCCACAGAAGUUUCUUUAGUGAUUAUUCUAUUAAAUUUAGGAGUUUUUAUUGCUUUUGACUUCAUUCAUUUUUUUUUAUCCAGUACCUGAUUUAGUAGUGCCCUGUGGCAGAGGAUUGGAAUUACAUGAUCUCUUACAACCCAAGUCAGCCUUCUUCUACCACUUUCUCUCUGCCGUAUGAUGUGUGAGAGAUGGGGAAUGGGUGCUAUGGUCAGUCCUUACAAGUUCCUCUCUGCUGCUCCUUCCUCCUUAUGCUUUUCCCCAGCUCCAGCAUGGACUUUCAUGGGCUACAAUCCCUCAGAAUAAAUCUGCUUCAGUGUGGCUCCUUCCCACAGGCUGCAGUCCUUCAGGCUAAAUAUGCUCCGUAGUGGGCUGUCUAUGGGCUUUUACUUUCUUUGGAAAAUAUUCACCUGUUCUGGCAUGAGAUUCUCUAUGGGCUGUAGUAUUGAUAUCUGCUCGAUUUAGGGUUUUCUCCUUGGUCUGCAGGGAAAUAAUCUUUAUUUAAAUUUUCUUUAAAUUGCUUUUAUGCUGAUCAAAUUAGGUGAGAACCUGACGUUUUGUUUUUUUUAACAGAAAAACAAACUACUGGUUUCUGUGUGGCUUCAUUCGCAGUCACAGAAAGUGAGUGAUAGUUUAUCUAACUGAAACUACAGGAGGAUUUUAAUUAAGCAGAAUGUAAUGAUUAGAAUUGCAAUUUUGAAAGAAAACUGGGGCUACCACUCCCAACUAAGCAUGUGUUUUGACUAAUGUUAAAAGCUUUGUUUUUCUAACUCAUAUAGAUUUUAAGACAAUUCACUUAUAAAAGGAGAAAGGAGACAAGAAAGAAAGAAAGGCAGUGGGAUGCCAGUGCUUCCUUAGUUUUCCUGAACUCACCCAUGCAGUGGUUUUCCUCCUAAGUACUAAUGAAACCAGAUACUGCUUUACUUCCAAAUGGAACAAUACAAUUAGAAGCCACAUCCAUAAUAGCUUUUGAAACUAUUUUGUUAAUCAGGCACUUCUGCUGCUGAGUCAGCAUGGUAUGCUCACUGUAAAUUCACCACUUACAUAUCCUGAGCAAUGUUUUUAACUUCAGUGUUCAGACUCUGGAAAAGGCUACGGGUGACAGUUCUUCCAUGAAGAAAUGUUUAUGCUGUUGAUAUUUAUUGCUACUUUCUUGUCUUUUCCUUUCUUUUCUUUUUUUUCUCUAGUUGUUAAAUUGUUUUUUUGUUGUUGUUGUUGUUGGUAAAUAUUAUUAUUUGGGAUUUGUAUCUUUAUAUGGAGGAAUGAAAAAAUAAUUAUUUGCUGUGGCAUUUUUAGAAGUAAAUUGAACAUCCUACUGGGAAUAAUGCAAUGUUUUUACUCUAUGCAUUUUGUCACCCUACUAUUUGGAUUUACUUUCAUUCCCACACAGUGUUCCUGGAAUCCCCAAGCAAAAUCUCUAAUGUGUUAGCAUGCUGACCUUUGCUUUGGUUGUAGGCGCAAAUGUUAAUAGAAACAGAAAAAGAGAAGUAAUCGCUUUUAUUUCUCACUCUCUUGUUCAACAAACUAGCAUUUAUAGAAAGAAGAUAUUGUUCAGUUACUAAGUCAACUUGAACACUGAUUUUCCUGAUGUCUGUCAUCUAGGCUACUAACUUUUUAAAGAUGCUUCAUUAGAGAUACUAGACAGGUACCAUUUUCUUAUUUCACAUUGACUAGUUCACAGUAAUGGCUGUGAAGCUAGAUUAAACCCAGCAUUUUAUAGGUAAAAAUCUGGUUUACAGUCAUUAGUUAUAUUACCUCCAGUUCCCUGGAAUUCUGUAGUACUCUCCAACUGCUUUUCAAGUGUAGGGUAAAAUGAAAGGGAAUUAAGAGCAAAUGAUACAUGUAAUUAAGGCCCCAUUGUGAUUACUAUUUUAAUUCUGUGAUGGGGGAAAAUAAUGUAGAUAGCCAAGUCUGAAAAUUAGGUUAUUAAGCUUUCUGUUUAGUUUAGAUUUUUCUCUUUAUUUUUAAUUUAGCUACAAAAAUGUUAUUGUUCUGUUUCUAUUAUUGCCAUUGUUUUUAACUUUCUUCCUUAAUUCAUUCUUAUCCUUCUAAUCUGCCCUAGAGGUGUACCAUUCAUGAUUUUUAUAUUCUGAAAACUACAAAUUGCUGUAAUUUCCUUCACAGUGCUACAUAUUACCCUAGUGAAGUAACCCAAGCUGAGUGCAUUGCUGUAAAGGGUUUUCUUUGAUUUUUUUCUGUGCUCUUUUUAGAGACUUGGCACUGAAGUGGGGAACCAUUCUAAAAAAAAACAAAAAUAAAACCAACUAACCAAACAAAAAAAACCUACAUGGACUACAUGGACCUUGUUUUGAUACCAAGAAUGGCAUUAAUCUUUAUGCAGAUAUAAAUGGAAGUUAGCCAGCAUAUUUCAAUAUACUCUAUGGUUUUGAACUGACGUGGUGUUAGAAACUGAAAUAUAUGACCUAAAGGAUAUUUUUUCAAAACAAGCAGAAGGCCAACAUUUAUGCUAUUCCUGACUACUUGAGACCACCAAAUCCCAUACAGUUAGUCAUGAAUUAGGUGUUCUCUACAGUCUCUGUAGUCUCUCAACAUGAGAGACAAAGAUGGUAAGGCUUCAGCCUUUUCUAGCAGGUCUUCCAUUGUAUUUUUUUAAUGAGUUUGUUUGAAAACAGGAUGAACAGAGUGGAUGAGUUCAGAAAGGGAUAAGAGUAGUGCAUGUCAAAAUGCCUGAGUUUUAUAUGUCAAAGAAUAAAAGAAAGGAAACUUAGGGACAAACCAAGAAAGAAGAUAUAAGAAUUUUAGGUCUAGUAAAGAAAGCAGUGGAGAGAGCUAAACAUAUUUGACCUGGGUGUUGCAGAAGCCCUGUCUCAUUUUGGAAGAGAGCUGAGAGUGAUACAAUACACAAGAAACCUACUGAAACAUUUAAAAUUAGCUAUGAUGAAGAUACUUCUGAAGGCAUCGGUACUAAUGUGCUUGAAUUUCAGAGGCUAUUCUAUAGAGUCUGUCCUAGUUUCAGCUGGGAUGGAAUUGCUUUCUUCAGAGUACUUGGUAUGAUGCUACGUUUUGGUUUUAGGAGAAAAACAGUGUUGAUAACACACUGAUGUUUACUGUUUUUGCUAAGCGGCGCUUAGCUGAGCCGAGACCAUUCACAGCUAAAGGAGGCCCAAGGAGCUGUGAGGGAACAGAAUUAAGACAGCUGACUUAAACUGGUCAAAUGGAUGUUCCAUGCCAUAUGGCAUCAUGCAGAAGGAGUUUUGAAAAGAGUUAGGGUUCUCUUUUCCACUGCUUGGGGGCCUGGUUGGUCAUUGGUUGGGGGGUGGGGAACAAUUCCUUGUGUAACAAUUGUUACAUACAUUCAUAUAUAUAUAUAUAUUUGUUGCAACUAUAAUCCUUUUCUUCUUCUCUAUUUUAGUAAAUAAAAGUUCUACCUUUUUUUUUUUUUUUUUUUUUUUUUUUUCCUGAUUCUCUCCCUUAUCCCACUGGGAAGCUGGGGAGUGAGCAAACGACUGUGUGGUGCUCAUCCACCUGCUGAGUUAAACCACAGUAGAGUCGUUGGCUUUUAACUGUUUUAUGCUAUAGUAGUCUUAAUGAUAUGAUGCAUUCCCUGAGCAGGCAGAAUUUCAUUCAUCUGAGGAGAGCUCCUUGGGAUGUCUCUGAGGUAUUUCAAGGAAGUACUAAUGUUGAAAUGUUGGAUGUGUUCAUUCUGCAUUAUGAUGAAUUUAAUUUUAGUGAACACAGAGGCCUCUGCCCUGUUAAUUUAUAUAUAAAUACAGAAAUUAUAGAAGGGCCCAGAGGAACACAGUGCCACUAAUGCAGAAGUGUGUUAGAUAUUUAAAAUAUGUGCUUCAAUUCCUGCCAGCUGGCCUUUGCACACUAUGUGCACCAAAUAACCCAGUAGCUGUCCCUGUGGAACAUAAUUUCUAAUUUUAAGUUUUAUUGAUUAUUCUUUUGGAACCUGUUACGUAAUUUCUCUAUAGACCCAGACUCCAUAAAAGAAGUCUAUGCAUUCAUUAAUACUCCAAAAAUAUGUAUCAGACACUUUCAUGUUAUACUAAGCCCAAAUGCAGUUUAUGUAAAAGCAUACAUUUAAAACCAAAACUGCGAAAACAUGUAUUCUACUGGAGUACCUACAUUAUUCCUUGAUUGGACAUAUCCUUUAAAUAAGACUUUCCCCCUUUCAUUUAAACUGAAUUCUCAGAGAAUCCAGAAUGAGAUAAAAUAUACUCAGUAAUAAAAAUAAUCAUUCAAGUGUUGAUGCAUGUCAGGAUUCUAUUAUGAUGAGUUAUUAAGGUAUCUUAAUAUGCAGGAUGAGAUUAGUGACUUCAUUCACAAUUGAAUUUUUAGUUGUUGAGGUCAAUAUUGUUAUAUAUGUUGGUUUGGCUUAUUUUCAAGCUUUCGAGUAUGAGAGGAAAUAAUUUUUUCCUAUUUAAAAAAUAAACCUUCCUUCCUUGAUAAUGGAAGGAAGCUUGUAGGCUGAAGAAAUUUCUAGAUGUACCACACAUUAUCUUUUUUUUUUCCAUAAAAAAAAAAAAUAUAAUUUCUCACUGAAACAAUUUAAAGGUCUGAAGAUGUAACUUUCAGAUCAAAUAAAUGUCUCAUAGCAAUUUCCCAAUUUAAUAUGAAAUGGAAAAGUGACCUCCAAGGUUAAAGGAGUAUAUGUAUGGGGUGUUAUAUGGCUCUUAGAAACAGCCAAAAAUCCUCCCAGGAAACAGAUUCCAGAGAAUGCCACAGUCAUUAACUUAGGUAAGAGCUCAAUCCAGAUAGUUUAAGUAGUUUAAUGAGGCCAAAGGGAUUAGAUAACAGAAGUUAUUUUAGUAUUACCAAUCAUCUGUAACUAAAGGUUUCCUCAGAAAAGCUUUAUUGCGUAGGAAAAGGCAGGCCAACAGGUAGGUUAUAUCUCUCUGAAGAAAUCAUGGUGAUAGGAGGAGAAAGAUUCAUCAUGAAUUAUUAUGGUGGUUAAACCAAAUUCUCUCUUUUGACUGCAUACAAAUUAGACAUUUCCAUGGUUUCAAUGGUCCUUUAAGUCCUUAAUAAAUGUUAACAUAAUAAUGAGAUUACAAGUAUGAUUUUAAAAACUGAGUUUUUCCCUUACACUGUUCCAAGUUUUUUGGAGAUGGAUUCAAAUAUUUUGUAUAUUGCCUGUACCCUAAAAUAUCACUUCGAGACUUCAUGCUGUCGUCCACAUUUUAAAAGCAAGGAGUUAUAAUGACAGAUCACUUCCAACUCCUACAGGUUUUGAUUUAAUUUAGACUAAUUUUAUUUGCAAGAACCUGUAAACUCCUAUCCAUUUGUGCAAAUCUGACCGUUUGGCUUAUUUGUGUGUCCAUAUUUUCCUCAGAUUCUGAGCAACAUGCUGCAAGAGUUAUAUUUUGGCAUACAGGAAUUUUAGAUUUGGGGAAAACAUACAACUUCUUAGCAUUGCAUUCACCACAUUCUUUUCUCUACUGCACUUUUGAAGUUAAAAAUAUAUGAAUGAAGUUUUGUAUUUUUUUUCCCUUCUCUCCCUCUUUUCCCUAUGGCAGAUGUGUUAAUCUACCUGUGGAAUCAGAAGUAAAUUUUACAGCAUUUUUCUGAAGGUUCCUCUUGAAGAAGUCUUGUACAGGAGACUAAAGCUUCCACAGGAAGGAUCAUGAAUUUGUUACGUGGUAAUGGAAAUUAUUAUACAUGCUGCAUGGUGAUAUAGAUGUGAAAUGGGUAUUGUGUUAUUUUCUGAAGUCUUAGUGUUUUCCUUCUGUUCCAGUUCUUAGUGAUCCAUUUUGCUCAUCUAGUAGAGCAGUACAGCAUUUAUUAUCUACAUACAAAAGAAGAUGUAGAUUUAGAACUUUAUUCUGUCAAGCAAUUACUACUUUUAUGUUAAAUAGAGCUGUGCAGAAAUAAUGAAUGCUUUUAAAGUGUUAUUAUGGAAGCCCAGUUUGAUAAUGGAAAAGCUGAUUCAGGAUAGUUCAGAUUUGGAAGUCAGUUUGGGUAUGUCUUAUGGUAUGCAUGCAACAGGAGCAUCAGAGUUCUUCCUCCUCACACUGUCCAAUUUAUUUUGUAUUUAUUUCAUGAAUGGAGUGACAAGCAAAGUGAGGAUGCCCCUUUUUCCCUUUUCCCAGUUUUAGCGCGAUACUGCAUUUUCUGCACAGUGUUAUCUAGCUUCAUCUCUCCACUUACUGAGAGAAACCAAAGCUUUUGGCUCUGUUCUUGCUGUUUCUUUGUAAAGAUGUAGUGCUUUUGGUGCAGCAUUUCUUCUUUGAACUGGCAUUUCCCUUCUCCUCCAGGGAAAUGCUGUUGGGCUGACCUAUUCAACUGAUGUACCCAAAUGCUGGCUGAGUGCAUCCCAUAUCAAGUGCUUGACAUUAUUUGGUGACUUGCUCAUUCCCUUUGUGCUACUGGGUCUACUGUGGGAUUCUCAUAUGGAUUUAUAAAGCCAUCAAUUUGUUAGGCCGUGCUAUCUCCCUGGUGAAUCUCUUUCCCAGAUAGCAUUGAUUAUCCAACACUUGGUGUUUUGAGGUUUCUCAAAAUAAAGUUAUAUUUCUUGAAACUUUUCUCAAAACAAGCUGGGUGGAGUUUCACUAUUCACAUAUUCACUACAGAAGAAAUUUCUUCCACACUUUUAACCAUGUAUUUUUUCUUUCUUUUUUUUUCUUCUAAUACUAAAGUCCCAAAGGUGAAGCUUGUGUUGGGUAGAAAAGUGACAUCCUGGUCAAAAUUGGGAAGUUUAACUUAAAGCUUUACCCGUGCAUACAUAAUAAGUUAGUCUUUUUUUUUUUUAAUAGCUUGCAAGCUAUGUUUCAGCAUUACAAAAUUGGCAUUUCAGAAUUGCAAAUGAAAGCAGUCCAGUUGAAAUAUCCAUUACAGAAUGUGGCAUAAUGUAUGGCUUCCAAAAUAAAGAAUAUGAUGUGGAAAAUAUCUUUAUAUAUUCAGGCAUCCUGCAUCACCAACAGGCAUCCAAAGUUGGUCCAGACUGCACCUCUGCUGCCAUCUAUCGCACAGCAACAUCACAUAGUGGAAUAUUUGCCGUGAAGUUCAACUUCUACUGCCUUACCAUCAACAUCCUUCUCUGACAUCAUGAGCCAACAUAAUAAAAUAGCAGGCAGCAUUUAAUUCAAUACUGGGAAAGCAGCAGUUGGCAGUCUGAUUCUCCUUACCAUAUGAUGACUAUUUCCCUCAAAUCAAAAUCAAGCUGCCAGUUCUAGAGACUCUUCUCAAAGCAAAUAGCGUCAAUAAAAGAAGUGUGGAGAAGUGAUAUGAAUAGCAGGUGUGCCAGAUCAGCCACAUCAUCAUCUGUGGGUAGGUGCUUUUUGGUUUUUGUCGCACUCUCCUUUGUUUGACCUCUGGUGUCAGAGGACUUGGUUGGCAUCUCUGCCUCGCUAAUCAUCUCUGACAUGUGGCUGGCACUGGCAAAUUUACUCAAAAGGAUGUGCCUGCUGUAUUCUGCAUUGGCCUUCACCUGUUGGAGGCAGAUAAGUGCUGUAUAUUUUGAAUCGGGUAUAAAAAUGUAAUGAAUACUUCGUAUACUGCUUUGCUUUGUAACUCUGGUUCACGAGUUCUGUCUUCUUCAGACCAAUACAAGUACUGCAGUAAGUCAGUAAGUCAGUGCUCUUUCAAAUAGCACUUCUUCCCUUCUCAAGAUAAACAAAACAUGUGAUUAGAUUUGGAAGGCAUCAACAUUUUAGUGUAUCCAGGAGUUUGUUUCUUUUUCUUUUUUUUUUUUUUCCCUACAGAAAUAUUCACAUUUGGACUUCAGGGGUGAAAUCCAGGACUCUUUGAAAUCAAUAUAUUUUCACAGAUAUUUUAACAGAGAUGAGAAUUUUCUGCUAAUCUUUCUUCUUUCAGCUACUUCUUCUCAGAAGAGUUACAUACAGACAGAUUUUUUGUACGUACUUUUUUUUUUUUUUUUUUUUGAGUUGGCUACAAGUUAGAAAAUCCCCUACAGCUAAAGUUCAGGCUGAGGAAACAAGUGAUUUUUAUGGAUUAUCUAGUGAGUUUAGUCAAGGAUGCCUGUGCUUGUGUCCUGUGGGAGAAGCUUGUAAUAAGCCUUGAUAAAUCAGUACUCAUAUGCAUGCAUCUUCCCUUUUGCCUGCUAAGACUAAACAGAGCUAUUUCUCAAUUCCCUUUCUGCUAGUGAAUCACAUCAAAGAUUUGAAAGGGUGAUGGGGUUUUCUUAUUCAAAUGAUGUAUUCAUUGACUUUCUUGAUUAGUGUCUUUACAUUUUAUCAAUGAGCACUUCUCUGAAUUUCAAUUACAUGUUUCCAUUGAAGAAACUGUGAGGGGGAAAAAAGUGGUUUCAGUAAUGAUGGUAGUCAGUUGAAAAAGUGCUGUGCAGGUUGACUGUCAAACAUAUUAAUACUUGCUUUAACAAAAUGUUUAAUUUUUAAAAUAUUUUGUUGUUAUGCUUUUAUUUCCAGAAGUGUGAACAUGCACUGGCAGAUCCUUAUUCUUUCUGUGCUCAGUUAUAAAUGUGGUAGGACAUUUAUGUUCAAAAAACUACCUACAGCCUAAUUGCAGAAGAAAGGAACGCUGCAGGUCCUGCCUGAGAGGUUGAGCUGAACACUUUUUUUUUCUGGCUUACUGGUCUGGAAGAGAUUCAGAUAAGCUGAAAUCUUUUCAUGGCGCAAACUUUUGAAAGUAUAGAUCUUCCUUUCCAACUAACAUUAUGCAAGGACUGAAUCGUUGGCAUUCUGAGCAUUUGAGUUACUAGUUGCUAGUGCCACCUGCAACUUUGGCCAAAAGAUAAGAAGGUGUUUGCUUGUUUAUAUAUCAGAAAAGGAUUUAAUGGGGAUAAGUUUAAUAUGCAGUAUUACACUUUUCAUUGUUUCUAAUUAAAUCACAAAUACAAUCUGCAUAUUUUGGUGAGAAUACAGUAUUUUCUAACAGAUUUUGGAUAAAAUGACCUAAAACAAUCACAGCAAUAUGAAGGCUAGUGGAGAAGUGGGUGGAGAAUCAACAUAAAAAAAUAAUUGUUUCAGUGACGUUUCUAAUGUCUGAUAUGGCAUUUCAUUUUCUCAUUUAGUGUGUAUAGAUCUUAGGAUUUUUAGUUAAAUGAAUCUAUAGUAGGUUGGCUGUUGAGCAUGGCUUGAUAUCUUUUCUAGAGGACAAAUACAGGGAAAAAAAUACCUGUGAAUGUUAUCCAGAGAUAUUUGAUCACAUUCUUAAGAAGCUGGCUGGAAUCUUAGAAAAACAUGUUUCCUCAAUGCUCUUCAUGAGUUAAGUUGCCCUGCAGAAGAACUUCUGCUAUUUCUGUUGGGGAUUGAGAGUGUCUUUAUUUCCUUGUCAGUUGGAAACUGUUUUACUGUAUAAUUAUAAUCAUAUGUUGGAGCACACAAAUAUAAAGCUUUGAAAUUAUUAUUGUGAGUUUUAGUCUAAGAAAUUUAUGUUCACAAUAAAGAUGACUUUUUUUUAUAUGCAUAAAACAACUUUGGGGCAAUUUUCUCCCUAGGAAUGCUCCAUAGUUUUGUUGCUCAAUAGCCUCCUGGGAUGUAAAAAAAAGGCUAAAAAUAAAUGCUGUUUCCCGUCAGACAGAAAAUGAGCAUUCUGCAUAACUGUUUCCAAGGUGAGUACUCUCUUCAUGGGAUAGGCAUCUGUGCUUCUGUGUCUUUUCUGGUGUAGUAUUAACAGCUCUAGAGGGCGAGACACACUAGCAAAGAUUAAAAACAAACAAACAACAACAAAAAAACUUGCAGACAUUUAUUCAUUUCUUAACUAGCAUGUCCACUGAGGUUUGGGAAGCCUGUAGGAAUCUCCAUGGAAGUCAACCAGCCUACCUUCAGGCUAUGAAUUUUGGUUGGUGAUGCUUACUCUUUGCAGUUUUAGUUUUCAUAGAAUCACCAAGGUUGGAAAAGAUCCCACAGGAUCACCCAGUCCAACCAUCCACCCAUCACCAAUAGUCCUCAUUAAACCAUGCCCCUCAACACAAUGAUCAAACAUUCCUUGAAAACCUCCACGGUUGGUGACUCCACCACCUCCCUAAGCAGUUUUUGAUGCUUCUUUUUAAUUCCUAUUUAUAAAAUAGAGGAAAACAACACUUCUGUUUUAGGACUGUUGUGAAAAUAAAUACAUUAAAGCUUGUAUAUUCAUAUACUAAUGUAGUUAUGCAUAUCUAAAUAAAGUAGGAAUGAGUCACCAACUUUGAAUUCUGUAUGACUGUUAUUUAGCCUUAUACAUUCAAGCUAACCAGUGAGAAGAAAGUCCAGACUACUAAUUUGCCAUGAGGGAAUAGCAUAUCUCUGAAUCAAACAGAUUCUUUAGCUGGUGUAGGUACGGAUUUGGGGCUAGGAACAUUAAUAGCAAUUCAGUAAGGCACAUGGCAAUUGUAAUUAUUUUAUGCUAUAAAAAGAUACAAGUGACCCUGAAAAUCCUAUUAUGAACCACAAAAUUAAUGGCAAGGCUAAAAUAUUAUAGUUUUAUGUGAACCAUUUCAGUUAAUUUCAGAUUUUAUAUAUAUAUAUAUAUUUAAGUCCAUGAUCAUCUUCAGAAUGUAGAAUGAAUUUUAUAUUUUUCCCUCAGUUUGAGGGAUUGUUUCCUGAAGUUUAGAUUAUUAUGAGCCAUGUUAUCAAUAAAAUCUCCCUUCCCUCCAUACACAGCUAAUUCUACUUCAGUAGAUCAGUCUGUAUGAAUGAGGCAACAGACUGUAUCAUUUUUGUUGUUUAGAUACUGAGAGGCAAAUAUACUUCAUCUCUAGAAUUGGAUCUCUCUUUCUUUCAUUAAUAGUAUUGUAACUAUAAAAUAGAUUUCAUGGGACAACUGGAGUUUGAAAGUAUAGAAAAAAGUAGAGUGGAAUAAGGAAAAGAAUUAAUUAAUAUGUGGUCGUAUUACUUAUUUCACUUAUAUAUUUAUUGCUACAGUAAUAAGGCAUUAGCACUUUUAAUAGAGUAGAUCGUUAUUUACCUUUCAUAAUUUUUGAGUUUGUGUAUGUGUGCAGGAGUUUGUCAGAGUGCUACACAGAGCUUAACUUUUAUAUUUGCAUUUCUUAACAGUGUCAGUUUAUGUUCUGCCACCAGGGAUUGCCUCAUCCCAUGUAAUCCAGAAUGUCUAUAGAUUGAUCUCUGUGCCUGAGGAAUAUGAAGAAAUUCCCCCAUACUCUGUAAUUUCUUGAACAUUGAAUGCAUUGGGAUCAGACCACACAUAGUGAUUUUUAUCUUUGAAGUAUUUCUUUUUUUUUUGUUUUAUUUUUUAUUUUUUUAUUUUUUGCAUUGAAAGACUCCAACCAUCUCUACUAUUGUUUAUAAUAUGAAAGUAAUUAAAAUUCUAUUUUAUCACUUAAUCACCGAAAUGGUUAACUUACAUUAUUGCUGUCUCCCAGUCUAUGCCAUUGUUCUUUUCCAGGAGAAGAAAAUUCUACAAAGCAGCAGAAAGGAAGUGCAAUUCAUUAUGCACGGAGCUUUCUUUAUCUUAAUCAGUUCUGGUAAUUUACGUAAGAGGUUUUGUCAUUAACUGCGUUUUCUUUGAAGAAAUCCCUCCCAUAGCCUAAUCUAGUUUGCCACUUAUUUAAAUGCCUGUGAUGGUAAAACAGAACUACUUUCUUCAGAGUGUUUGAAAAUUAUUAGAAACUCUAGUCUGAAUGUGUGUAUAUAUAUACUUUCGUCAGACAAAAUAUUAUUGUAAGUGAAUGCUAUGUUGUCAUCUUCUAAUUAGACUGGUCUAUUAGUCAAAUUUAAGUUUCAAGUGGACUGGAGGAUGGAGAAGUGUAUGUAAUGGGAGGCACAUAAUAACCUUGUUAACCACUAAAAUGUCUUUCAGGAUUGAGCACUGCAAGGAGACUGACUACAUGCAUGAGAGCUGCUCUGAUAGUAAUGCCUCCUAUUUUAUUAUGUUAGCUCAUAAUAUCAGAAGUGGUUGGUGGUAUGGCAGUAGAAGUUGAACCUUCCUACCAAUAUUUUGUUAGAUUCUGUUGCAAUGUGACAGAUGACAGCAGAGGGAGAGUGAGACAAAUUGGCUUUUGACAUGGAAGUGCGUAUGAAGCAAAAAUAUGUCAUUGAAUUCCUCCAUAGGGAGAAAAUGUCACCCAGUGAUGUUCACUGAAGUUUGCUGAAUGUUUAUGGAGACCAUUGAAUGUCAGCACACCAAGGUAGUGGGUGGUGCGUUUGAAUAGUGGUGACAGUGGAUCAGCUCCACUGGUGCAGAUUAUUAUGAGCGCAGCAUGCAUGCUCUUGUUCAUCAUUAUUGAAAAUGUAAAGCUAAUGGUAGCGAUUAUGUUGAAAAAUAGUGUUUUGUAGCUGAGAAUUUGCUCUAUCAAAUACUGUUAUCUUUGUUGUAAUUUCCAUGGAAAGAAAUGUAAAUCUGAGAAGAGAGAAGAAAAUCAGCAGGGAAUGUCAAUGUAACCGAAAUCCAGGAGCAUAUCCAGCUGAAGGGAGUUCACAGAUUAAGAUCAAAGAAGAACUGAGUGUUAGAAUAAAAGAUUUCAUUUGAGACUUUUCAAGUAUAAUUUGGAGCAGACCAUCUUGAAUGUCAUCACACAGCACAUACAGGACAACCAAGCUAUCAAAUGAAGCCAGCAUGGGUUUGUGAAAAGCAGAUCCUACCUGACUAUCCUGGCCACCUAUGAUCAGAUAACUUGAUCAGUAGAUGAGAGAAAGGCUAGGGUUAUUGUAUACCUUGAUCUUGGUGAGUGUUUGAUGCUGUUUCUGACAGUAUUUUCCUGGAGGAUCUGCCUGUUUUUGGCUUGCGCAGGUGUAUAUUUUUCUGGGUGUUGAACUGCCUGGAUGGCCAGGCUCAGAGAGUCAUAGUGAAUGAAGUUCAGUCCAAUUGGCAAUGAGUCACCAGCAACUUUUCCCAGGGCAUGGUACUGGGAACAGCUUUAUUUAACAUUUUCAUUAAUGAUUUGGAUGGGGGGUGCAGUGGAAUUGCCAAGUUAUGGCCUGAACCAAUGGUUGAGCACCAGGUGAGAAAGGCAAGACUAACCCAGGGAGCUCAUGUGCAAGCAAUGCACAUGAGUGACUAGAAGGAAAUCAGUCUGGAUCCACCGCUCCUUACUCUCAUUUAAGGGCUAGCAGCUGAGGGAGCACCGUUUCUCUGGAUAGAGGUUGCACUCCUCUUGAGCUGUCGCUGAUUGUUGGAAGGCGUGAGCCAAUUUUCCUUCUUUGCUACCUGCUAUUGUUCUGUAGUGCCUGUAUCCCAUUCAAGCACACUGUUAUUGCCUUCUUUCCCCAUACAGGGGAAUUUAAUGAACCCUCAGAAGGUUCCCUGACAAUACCAAAUUAGGUGGAACCUGCAUGAGAGUUGGCAGGCUAUGCAGAGACAUCUGAAUUAGUAGAUUCAGUGGGCCAAUGAAUUCAAUCAUAUGGUAUUUAAGGAAGGUGAGUUGCUCAGUCCUGCACUUCAGUCAGAAAAACCCUGUGCAGUGAUAUAGGCUGAGGAAAGAGGACUUGGGGAUGCUAGUCAAUAGCUGAACACAAGCCAGCAGCGAGCCCAGGUGGCCAAAGUGACUGAUGAUAUCCUGGCCUACAUUAGAAAUACUGUGGACAGCAGGAUGAGGGAAAUGGUAAUCCCAUUGUACAGCGCUGGUGAGACUACACUUUGAAUACAUUGUUCAGUUUUGGGCCCCUUACUUCAAGAAAGCUGUUGAGUUGUUCAAACAUAUACAGAUAAGUGAAAUGAAGCUGGUAAAGGGAUUAUAAAACAAGAAUCAUGAGGAGCAGCUGAGGGAACUGGGGUUGUUUAGUCUGGGGAAAAUAAAGCUGAGAGUGGAUCUCAUCUCUCUCUACAACUUCCAGAAAGGAGGUGAUGGGUGACAGGAUGUGAAAUAACAAACUUUUAGAAUUUCUUCCCAGAGAGAGUGUUCAAGAACUGGAACAGACUGCCCUGGGAAGUGGUGAAGUCCUCAUCCCUGGAGAUAUUUAAGAGAUGUGUGGAUAUGGUAAUAAAGAACAUGGUUAGAUGAUGGUUAGAUGACUUUGUCGGGUCAGGUUGAUGGAUAUACUUGAUGAUCUUUAAGGUCUUUUCCGACCUAGAUGAUUCUGUCAUACGUGUAUGGGUUCUCAGUACCCUGCAAUUAAUAUAUAUCUUUAGGAGUUGUUUCACCUAGAAUCUUUCUUUCAUCCUCAUCACUGAUUUAAAAAUACAGUGCAAAAAAUAUUUCUCCUUCCUGCUUUUGUCUCUCUCUUAUAUGUAUGUAUUUAUACGCUUGUUGUUGUUUCCUGGUUUUGCUCUGUUGGAGAAUAAGUAAAGUUUAGGGAAUGGAUCUGAUCCAAUGGUUUAAACUUUGCUCCAGUAAAGUCUUUAUUACAUGGUCUAAUUCUAAUUUUUUUUUCCCUUUGCUUUUUACUCUUAGGCACACAUUUGAAUUCUGAACUGGUCUAGGAUCUAGACUUCUUUCUUAACAGCGCAGGUUCAUGUUGAAUUAGAGAUCUCAUAUAUAUCUUAGGUUUUUUUACCUGACAGUUUCAAGUUUUAAGGAUUUUUCUUGCUAUAGAAGGCCCUGGUCAUGAGGCAGUUAUGCUUUUAAAAAGCUGACAUGUACAAGAUCAGACAUAGGACUUCACUGGCCAAAGAAAGCACAUAUUAUCCUAUAAUAAGUUGACUCUAAAUGUUCCACUUUUCCUCCUGAGAUUCUAUUGCCCAGACUCCCUUAUUUCCCCUUUAUCUUCUAAUCUGCUUCAUUGAGUUACACAUCUGUGUAUGUUUACUCCUGUGCAUGUAGUGGUGCAAACCAAUCAAGUGACCACUGAGACAGUAAUACUGCCUCUCAGGUGGUACAUAUAAGUCCACAGAUGUUCUGGGGUACUAACUGCUUCUUCAUAAUUCCACGCAGAAGAAUGGCUUUACAAAAGAGCACAAACAGGUUGAAUUAAUAUUGCCUACUGCUGAUCUGAGUGCCUUCAGUACCCCUUCUCCCAGUAUGAGAUUUAAGUUCCGUCAUUGGAACGGCACUCAUUCAAAAAUUAGACCAUAUAUAGCACAAUGAAACAUUCCUACAACUUGGAACCUUUUCUGAAGCAAAAAUUAUACAAGUAAACUAAAGGCUCAAGGCAAAAAUUAUGACUGAAUGUGAUCUUUUGAGUAAAUAAUGGAUUCUGGUAAUGCAUUAGUUUUCAUUCAGAAAAGCUGCUAAUAUAAUCCUAGUUCCCCAAACAGCAGGCUAAUUGUUGUUCAGUGUUCUUUCUGAUUCCACUUAAAAAUUUCACGGUGGACCUAAUAACAGUAAAAGUUAAGGGGUUUAAUAGGUUGGGUGUUUUUUUUUGUUUGGUUGGUUGGUUGUUUUUUUUUUAAAAGGAAAUCGUCCUUUUGAAAUUAUCUGGAACUAGACUUGAACAAACACUUAAAAUUUUAACAAAGUUAUUCCUUCCAUCUUCCCAUUUUCCUUCUAUUAUGGAAACAUUUUUUUUUAAUGGAAAAAAUUGUGUGUCUCUGUGCAAUUUGGACUACAACAAUGCUGUUCUUAUUGAUGUGCUUUGAGCUCAAUUCACAAUCAAGUGGUGAGAGGGACAGUCUCAAUUGCCACUGAUUUAUAUGUAAAUUGUGAUAAACCAGUACUUUCAAAUAUAAGGCACAAAGGUUCCAUUUUAUAUCUCUCUUUCUCUCUCUCUCUCUCUUUUUUUUUUUAGGUAAGAUUCCAGGAGUAAUUUAAAUGUAGUGAACUUAGUAAAUUCUAAAAUGAUCUCCACAUGAUGAAAUAAUUACUGAUUUUAUGCAAAGAGUAAAAAUGAUACUUAAGAAUACUUAUUAUUUUAAGAGUAUACUGCUGUCUUCAGGACAAAAAGUAAUUGUUUUCAUCAUUGCCUCUGUGGAUUAUAUUGUCCUUAUAAGCAGGUAUUAAAUCAUGCAAAGAGGGGAAGGCUUUUGUUCCUUCGAGAAAACAGAAAACUCUUCAAUAAAUAGCAAAGUGAUUCCUCAGCUGAAUUCAAAAUAUUGAGCUUAUGUAAAAAAAAAUUAUCACAUGAAAAAAAAUCUUUAAUGCUGCAUAAAAGAUUUUGUUCCAUUCUGCAUUGUACUGAAUCAUCAAUAGAGAAAUGGUUCCUUUGUUUUCAGUAGAUGGGGAAUGUUGUGGAUAACUUAUGUGAAAAAUGUAAUACUCCUAUGUCAGUACAACAAAAGAAAAGAAAGGAGUAAAUGUUAUGAGGACUGCUUCAGAAGGGAAUUCUGCUCCAAAGAGGUGAUCUAGAAAGAAAGGAAACAAACUCCUUAGUAGUCAGUCCGUUUAGACAGUGAUGCUCAUUUGUGUGAAGCUUUUUUGUUAUCAUCACAUAUUUCAUACUCAUAUAUUAGGUAAGUCUCUCUGGGAAUUCAAUGUACACAGAACAAAAGAGGAUAUACUUGAUUCAAAGAUAGCUGAAUUUCUCAGGAAGUUCUAAACCUCAGUGGGAUGGCUGCUUGGGAAGUCCUUUUACUGCAGUGCCUUGUGGCCACCAAACCAAGCAGUGAUUGAGCAGCCUUGAAUCCUUGUAAUUAGAAGAAGGAAGCUUAGUGAGAACCAGCUUAGAUGACUUUGUUCAUUUUCCUUAGCUUGUAUAGAACUGCAAGUGUUAAUAUAAUCUAAUAAUAAGAUUGUUUUGGAAAAAAAAAAUCUUGGUUUUAUAUUAAACCACUAAACAAAGGAGUGAAAGAAAAAAUAUAUUGCAAUGUUAUGAACAUCAAAUACUAUCUGAACAAGGAAAUAUUAACAGUUUAUGUGAUAAACUUUAGACAAUACUCUUGCAUCAAUAGCAUCACUGAACUGCUUGUGGGUGGCUGGGGAUAGUUUUUCCAAUAUCCAAUACUAAAAAACCCAUUAUAUUAAAAAAAAAAAAAAAAAGUGAAAAGUGAAUAAGAGCAUAUUGGGUCAUUGGCUUAUUAAUUUUACAACUAGAUGAAACAGUAGAUUUGUUUUACUUUACACAAGCUGUGUUUUUUUUCCUUCCAUGAGCUGAGUGAAUGAGUUUGAUUGGUUCUGUAAGGCUCCGGUUUGAAUUUGGGGGGAUUUUAUGCUUUUCUAAUCUUUAAAUGUAGAGUACUAUAGAAUAUGAUUACCUACCAAUUUCUUAACCAAUAUGUAUUUACUGCUGUCUCUGAGUUUAUAUUAUACUACAAUUUUGGAAGUCUUUUUAUACAUGAUUGUAACUGUUCAUGUCAGAUCUGUCUACAUUCGUAUAUUCAGUGCAUGUACUUGAAGAAUAGCUUAUAGAAAGUAAUUGCAGCCAGUGUUUAUAGGACAUCACAGUUGUGUGAACAGUGCUUAAAAACCUGAAAAAAAUCAGAAAAAAAGAUAGUAUAGAUUAAAAUAUUUUUAGAUUUCAUUUCAAAUAGGAUUAAACAAAAAUUUCAAGUAUUAUCUUUACAACUGUGAAGUUCACCCUAUUCUCAGUGAUGGCAUACUAAAUUUGUCAUGUAACUGUGCCUUAGCUAGCCUGUAGGAUUUAUUUUAGUUAUACAGACUGUCUUGGAAAUACGCAUAGAGGAUGAAGCAGUGACCUAUGGAUUUUAGAAUACUCAGAAAAAUUUUGCAUACUAAUCUUAUUUUUUUUAUAACAAUCUGAAUCUAAUUUACUUGCUGCAAGUGGGGAUGAGUCACAUUAAUUUGUCUUUUUUAACUAGAAAUACCCUACAGCUUGAUCAACACCACUAUCCCGAUUUAUACCAUCAACAUCAUGGAUUGGGUCAGUAUAAGGAAAGGAAAAAAUGAAAGAAAUCAGAAGCAAUUUUAAAACAUCAGAAGAGAAAAAAAAAGUCUUUGAAUAGAUCUGUAAAGACAGCUCAUUAUGUUUAUGAAAAAUCCACAGUUGAUAGUGAUGUACUGAUGAAUAUGACUAUAUAUAUGAAUAUCCACCUCAUCCCUCCUCUUCUGAGUUGUCAUCAAGAAAUAAGAUAUUCUCUCUUACUCUUCUGCCAAAAAACAUCUGGAAUCCUUAGGAAAACAUUGAGGUAUUGAAUCAAAAAGACUCUAUCAGCAUAUUUACUUUAAGCACUCAAAGUCAGUCAUUGACUCAGUUGUAGACUUAAGAUUAUGCAGUUGCUUCAUGUUUUACUAAAAGGUUUAAACAUUAUACUGAAACAGAGGUAAUUACACUGCUUAUAUGCAGUUCUAAUCUACCUUGAGUGUGGGAAAAAAAAUUACUUGUGCAUUUAAAAAUAGUAUUAUAAGAAUUAUUUGUAGGAUUUUUAUGCCUAGGUGCUAGGUGCUCCUAGUGCAGAUUUCACAACUUUUUGGAAACUGUAAGAUUACUAUUUCUUUCUGAGUUGUUUGUCACUCUUAAUAACUACGAGGUAAACAGAAGAAAACACUUCUAUGAAAGCUGCUCUAAUAACUGCUGUAAUGACUACUAACAGAAAUGGCUUCAUUAUUCAUGAGUUGUGCACAGAAUUAGUUUGAGACAUUGAAUGGAUGUGAGGAUCUAUUCAUUUUCUGUUACAAACUCCAUUCUCAGCUACCUGAAAAAAUUAAGGUCAAGAAAAUGGUUCAUCAUGUUUACUCAUUCAAGACAUCACCAAAAUCCAGUUGAUACUAGAACUGGGGACAAACUUACUUUACUAAUUUGUCUUUGUGGGUAAUAUGCAACCAAUCCUUUCCAUAUAAACUACUCCAGAGCCACUAUUAGUAUUUUUACUAGUGUACGGAUAGGAGGAGGUUAGAGAAGCAUAUAUCAUAUGUCUAGGUUAUAUAUAAAGGGACUGGAUAUUGAUUACCUCCAUAUUUUACCUGCUGAUAUAGUCAUCUUUGUGUAAUUUUUGAUAAUUUUACAAGGACACCUUAUUGUUUGUGAGAAGCAAGUUGGAGAGCCUUUCUGUAGUGAUCUGCAUCAGCAUUUAGAAUGCCAUAAUGAGGUUAUAUGUUACACUAUGCUUAUGUGCUUUGCUAUUAAUUUGAAAUAUUCUCCCUGAACAUGAAAUUAAUAGAAGUAAGGAAAAACUAUUGGACCACAAUCUGGAUUAAGCACUUCUUUGUAUCAUAGAACUUCAGAUGCAUGAUUAUUAUGCCAGUAAUCAGAGUAGCAUUGAAUUUAAAAUUGCUGCUUUGUUGCUCUGCAUAUUUUGAUCCAGUAAUUAGGACUGAGAACUGUUACUUCGUUUUACUUUCAGCAUUAGUAACAUUACAGGAUUUCAGAGUAUGCAAAAGAGAAAGGGCAUGAAAAUCAAAGCAAAACUUUCAUUAGAUGAUGAUGCAGUUUUGGAAAUUUAAGGAACUUCAAUUAAGUUUCACACCUUACAGUAUAAUGUAUACCCUAAAUUCUGUAAAACUUAAGCUUAGGUGAAUUAUUUGGAUUUUUGCUGUGACCUUCACUUAAAUGGCUAGUAUUUCUUUCUCUAUCUUUCAGUGCAAUAAUUUUAGACCAUACAAGUGCCAGGUUAACUUUUUUUUACAGGGUAGUAGCUGUGUCUGCAUCAGCAAGUCAUACAUGGAAGAAAUAGAUCAGGAGAUCAAAAUAGCUGGUGGUUGAGACUACUGCCACUAUUAUGUGUACUGCUCUGGGGGCUUAUUUUGAAUUGAUUUAGUCUAGUUUCCUGAUUCAGAUGUCCUCGUCACAUGUGCAGCUCAAAGUCCUUUGAAGAACUAACCUUUUGUUUGGACCCUUAUGAACCCACUACUUGCUAGAUUGCAUUUGAUGUGUGCCUGAUAUAGAGUUUAGUUUCCUCCAAAGAAAAUCUAGCUAGCAUCAGCCUCUCCUCAUUGGGCAAGUGCCCAACUCCCCACCAUAAUGAAUGCCCAUUCCUUAUCAGUGCUGUAUCUUUAUCUCUAUUUUGACAGCAGUUUUCUGACUUUGAGUUCUAUCAUAAUCUUAACAAGCUUCCCAUUAAUUUCUGAAUAGAACAGCAUAUGAAGAUACAGUACUGGAAGUCUGGUGAAAGGAUUAUGGUGUUAGGAAUUAACAGGAAGAAUGAAAACUACUGCACCCACCCAAUACAGAAAAGUACAUACUUCAUUAUCUUAGUAGCUACAUUAUCUGCAAUAUCAAACAUCUUGUUUCGUGUCAAAGGUCAUACCUUGGUGAUGUCUUAUUAGUACAGCCGUCUUUAGCUGGUGUGAGAUAUGUGUUUAUUCACAGUUUGAACAUCACCCCUUCAUUCUCUCCUAUCAUUAGUAACUUAGAGUUUUCAUGUACCCGAUCAACUCUUGACACAAGAUAGGUCUCUAGAAGGAAGAGUGAGUUUUGAACUUUCUGUAAUUAAAUGUACAUUUUUUUAACAUCAGUAAUUGGAAAUCACAAUAGAUUCCAAUCCCCAUGCUAAUAAUUCAUUAUAAAUCUGACAUAUAUGGCGAACAUUUAUAUACCAUAAUUUUAGAGGUAUCUCAACUAGAAAGUUCCUAGCAAUAAUAAAAUAGUAAUAAAAAGACAAAGGCAGACGCAAAAUAGCAUUUUAAAGGUAACAUAGUUGAAUCUGUUAUUGUCCAAAAUUAUUUUCUGCAUUAAACACUAGAUACUAUGAGAAGAACUUAAAGUAAAAGGUACGUACUGUAAUUCUUCUCAUAUUAUGUAUUAGACUGAAAAAAUACACAUAGGUAGUAAGGAAGUUGUGUUCUCCCAUAGCACUGUGAUUAAUGUGUACUUAAAUUUCUUCAAAAGAAUCUCGUAAUAUGUCCAUGAGAUGUUCGUGAUUUUAUUACAUCAAAAUUUAAAAGCAAAUUUCAGGCUUACAAGCUCUGGCUUUUUUGCUGUGAUUGGCUUCUGACAUGAGCACAGGUAGUCCCUGUCUUGUAGUCUUGCAUUCUCGAUUUACAUAGUGGACUUUAAAUUGUUUUACUUCAGGGGAUGUUAUAAUCUCCUUUGAUGUCCAUAAAGUCAGUAGACCUAAUCUGCUUGAAAGAUACUGAAUUUCUUAGAAGCUCAUAUCCGCCUACUAUUUUACAUAGGGAUUAUCAUUACUAGGCUCAUAAAAUGUGUUUUUAACAAUAACAAAAUUUGAUAAGCAGCUUGGCUUCAUAAUGAGAAUUUAGCAAGACAGAAAUGCUACUCAGCAGCAAUAGUUUUUCCCUUGCAGAAACUAUGUCAUGUGAAAAGAAAAGGAAGGAGGAUCUGAUUUCUAGACAGUUCGUAACUGAUUGUGUCAAAAUCUACAUAAACGCAGGACACACAGUUCUCAUGGUAUGUAUAAGAGUUGUUUAAGGAGUUAAUUAUGGAUAGGAAUGAAUUAUCUGUGCAUAUGCUGCUGGUAACAAAUAAUCAACUUUAAAUUCUCAUUUUUAGACCUAAUGGUUGAUAUUCAAUUACUAAUGGUUAUCCAUCUAAAAAGCUAUCUUACAAUACUCAGCUUGAAUUAAAUAUCACUACAUUAAAUUGAAUUAUGAGAAAGAGUAGCUCAUCUAUAUAUGUAGAACAUCUUGAAAUUGAAAUUUGUUAUUCAAAUCGUGAUUCUGUAAUAUGGAAGUGCACAUUUUUAAUAUGAAUAUAGAGAAUUCAGUGCUUGCCUAUUUGAGUUGCAUGUAUGAGCUCAUUAAAAAAGGUAUGCUAAAAAUGAGUAUCUAUAAUAUAUAAUCUAGAAGAUACAAAACCAAAUACAUAGUUACUGAUACCAGUCUGUGUUAAUGUCUGUGGGUUGCUUCAAAAGUACUGCCUUCUAUUUAUUUCCAUGGCAAUUAAAACAGAUACGGAGGACACAAUAACACUGUUUGAUAGAGCAAAUUCUCAGCUACAAAGCACUAUUUUUCCUCAUAUAGUCACCACCAUUAACUCCAUGUGUUGCCAGUGAUGAACAAGUUCCUGCAUGCCAUGCUCGUAAAAUUCUGCAUGGCCAUCAGGGGUGUGGCUUGUCUUUCAUGUUGCUAUCAUCACACUGCUGAAACACACAACCCAUGGCCUCUCUGUGCUCACAACCACUGUUUGGUCCACAUAAAUGUUCACUGAGCAUUGAUGAAAGUCAGCAGGUGUCAUUUUUUAUGCUUAGAGGAAUUCAGUUAUAUGCCUGUGCUCAAUAAUUCACUUCCACAUCAGACACUGUUUUGACAGACUGCCCCUCUGCUGCCAUCUGUUGCAUGGCAACAAAAUGUAAUGGAAUAUUGGUAGGAAGUUUCAGCCUCUACUGACAUACCACUAGCAUCUGCCUCUGAUGUUGUGGGCCAACAUAACAAAAUUGGAGGCAUCAUUUUCAGAGCAGCCCUUGUAGACAGCACCAUAAAUGCCAGUAGAUGAAACCGUAAACAGGGUGUACAGCUUUAAGUUUUCUUUUUUGAAUUAUUCUUUACCAUUUUACAUCACUUUUAAAGACUGCAUUUUGAAAAAUGGUCAGCAUCUCUAAUUCUGUAUGCAUAAGCAGUUGGGCAUGCUAGGGGAAAAACCUAUUUCUAGGAUUUAUGUGUGUAUACUAUCUGAGUGUGCUUAGCAUGACCGACAGUUAUCACGUACCAGAAUGACAGUGUAUUUUGCAUUCUUAUAGGAGAUUUGUGCAAGUAGGUGGAGACAAUGGGAGGUCUAUAUGAAGUUCUAACUGGCUUAAGUUGGUGAUGUUGAAUGUGACUGUUAACGCUAUAUAUUUCUGAAAGUUUUAGAGUCUUUAUUUGUAAUGACAUAUUAAGGAUUCAUUUACUGUUUUCCAACUUACAGAUUUAUUCUGAAGACAUUUUUUAAAGGGCACUCAAUCUUAACUUUCAUUGCGUGGAAACAGAUUUAUGCCCCAUGAAACACAUGGCUACUUAAUUUUGGCUUCUACAUUCUUGUUUAUUUGUAUAUCUUUCUGAAUAUAUUCCUCUUUGUUAUUAGCUUACUCCUGCCUCUUUGCAGACAUGCGUAAUCAGCCACAAGUUUCAAAGGUUGCAGUUGGUAGGAAGGGCAUGGGGAUAACAGCCUGAAGCAAGAAUAGACGAGAAAGUGUGGAUAAAAUCAACUCUGUGUUCUGAUAAGAGAGAAAUAACCUACCAUUUGUACUAUUUACUUGGAGGAAUUUAGAAACUAGCAGGGAGGAAGAUUAGACAGCUUAGGAAGAAUUAGAACCUUGAAAAAAGAUGUAAGAGGAUGGAUGAUAUACCUCAGGAAGAAUAUGUCUUAGCAUAUAGUCUAGGGAGACAAACUUACAUGGCACUUCAUAUAGAUAUGACUGCUGCAAGCUCAGCUUCAAUACUGUAUUAAAUUGAAUAUGUUGCAUCCCAGCUGGAACUAGCUAUGAUAUGUCCUAAGGCACCAUUUUUAUCAGCAGCCUUUUUGGGUUAGCAAACAACAAAUGAACAGUUUCUGUGCUUUGAGCCAGUAAUAAUGAGAACUUGAUAAAUUCAAAUUCUUAAACUGUGAUCAUUAAACUAUUUUGUUAAAAUUUGUUUUUGUUGAUCUCACUGAUGGAGACACCUCUUUGCCUAGUCCCAUCAUGUUGAUUUGAGAAAGACCAUGGAUUCUGACAAGACUUAAGGAUACAGAGAAACAGAAAUUUUAGACAAGCAUAGUGUUUCAUUGUUUAUUAACCAAGUAGUUUUGUUUCUGUGGGAUCAUUUCAUCUAGAAUCACUCUGAUAAAGACACAAAACUACUGUGUUGGUUGUCCUUAACAGAAUGUAAAAAUUUUUGAGUGCUCAUUUCAGACUGACAGACUGGCAGUAAAGUUGCCAACUAAUAUAUCUGGCUGAUCUUUUGUAUGAAAUGCAACAAGUAGCUUGAAGUCCUCCUCCUUUGGGGCCAGCAAAUUGAGAAUGCCAAUAUUCUGUAUCACUUGAGGGUGUUUUGAGGUCAGUUAGUGUUUUUGAUCUAGCAGUUACAAUAAAAAAUCUAGAUACAAAAAAGCCUACUUACAGUAAAUCUGUUGUUGUGGUUAUACUUUUCAGUUAUUUUAGUCCAAGAAUCUGGAGAAUUUCCUUGUAUUUGGAAACAGCGUGAUGCUGUUUGACAGCAGUCCACAUGCCAUGUCUUACUUCUAAUGGCAAGAGCUUGGCUGUCCAUUGAUGUGAAAGGGCUUUUUGGUAAAAUGUGAGUUUUGCUUUUUCCACUGAAAUGGUUGAAAAGUGAUUUGAGUAUAAAAUGGACACAGUGACAAUAGGAAAACCUGAGAGAGAGAAAGAAUGGAUUUCUUCCUAAUUAGUCUGAACAUAAUAAUGUGUAGCAUGUUAGCAGAACAUGUCUGAUUUUUAACAGAGGAAAAAUGAGAGUGCUCAGCACAAGAGAAAAGCUUUGCAUUAAAUAAACCUUUUAUUUUCCAGUGUCAGUUAAGUUCUGCUGAACAAAACCUUGGACCAUUGCUCUAGAAAGCAGCAGGUGAAUGCCACAAGGCAUCAUACUGAGGCCAGGGUGAGGGCAGCCACAGGGCUGGGACAUGGCCAAUGAGGAGAGCUAGGCAAGGCCUGACCAAGGUCCUGGGGGUCUAUGCUCAUACUGAGCCAUCUGCUGGGCAGUGCGGCAUGCCACUGUGCCACGUUCAGUCAAAUGUUGCAGAGCACUGCAAAAGAGACGUGGAGGACAGCUUGCUGAUUUUGUGGGCUUCCUCAGGCAAGCAAAGGCUGAUCAGGCAGAAGCCAGUUGGGUAGCUAUCCCCACAGGCAUCAGGAACCCAGCGUGAGGAGCCCAGAUGUGGUGUGCACUCAUACAUACCAACAUGAUAAAGGAUGUAUUUCCUCACAUGCACUUACUGGCUUUUUGGGUGGGUAGGAACUAGGAGGUUUUCCAGUCCCUCCCUGAUGUUUUCUUAGGGAAUCACCAUGAAAUGUGUUCCAUGUGAUGGCCGCCCAUAUUGCUCUUAGCAAAUACAUCUUUAUCUUGGCUUCAUAUCAAAAUGGGCUAUUGAUUUCAGAUUAACAAAAUCAAGAAAAAUAUAAGUGUGAGAUACUUUUAUUCUUCAAUAAAGUUCUGAGGACAAUAAUUGGAUUUGCCUUCCAGACAGGCACAUAGUAUUGAUUAUGAAUCUGAAACUAUAAUUCAAACAAGGCCAAAACUAAUAGAAAGUAUACACAUGUUCAGUAACAAAUAAAUUAAAAAAUAAAAAAUAUUCAUAUGUUAAAUGCAAGAAUUUUACAACUGUUACACUGAUAUGUUAUUGUAUUACACUUGCCUAAGUGGCUUAGCUGUUUUGUGUAUAACCUAAUAUAUGAUUUCACUGUUAGAGAAUUAUGGAGUAAACUAAAGAAAGGUAAAACACUUUUUAUCACUAACAUAACAUAAAACAUACCUCAGUGACUGUUGUUGUGAAAUACUAUUUACUAUUUUUUUUUCUUUUUGGUCCUUGAUGAAAUUAAUGUGGGAAUGCAGUAUGAUGCCGGAUGCUAAAGUAGAUCAGUAGAUUAAUUUUAGUCUCUUAUGUAUGCAACAGAGUUCUGAACAGUCUUUGGGUGAGGCUGUCAUGCUGAAUAAUUUCUUUAUCCAUUGAUCUCUAUUCAAGACUUGAACUUCAGUAACUGGACAUCUCAACAUCAUAAAAUAGUCAAAACUUGAAAGGAGACAUUAAAUUACAAAAAAAAAAAAAAAAAGGAAAAAAAGUUAUACCUCUUUUCACUUUAAUUUCUUUCUUUCUUUCUUUUUUUCUUUAAUCUCACUAAAAAAAAUAUAUAUCAAAAUGUACUGUACUAUGAUUUUUAUUAACCAGUUCUUACAACUUGCAACUGAUUGUCUCAGCUUGAAUUUAUCUGUAGUAUACAGAAUUCUCUUGCCCAUUCACAAAGAAAAAGUAUUAUUUAGAGUAGUUCUCAUCCACAGCUUCCUCAUUACUGGAUUUAUGUGAAAAGCAGAUCUUAUUUCCCAUGGUUAUUCACACAGAAGUUUUCUUUUUAUGACUUGAAAAAUAGGGUUAUUCUUCUUUCCUUGAUACUUGAUGCUUUUAGUUUAUUCCUAUAGCAAAUAGAAGCAGAGGUUCUCCAGUUCCUAAGUGCUAUUGGUGCUUUUUAUGUGUAAUAACUGGACUUAACACAAAAAAUAAAUUUUUAUCCAGUUAUUUUAUGCCAAAAUCAACACUCUCCACAGUCUGUACAUAUACUGGUAUACUGGUAUUGCUUCUAUCUUGAUUCAGAGUACAGCCACCAUGUUAAUGAAGUGUUAGCAGAUAUGUAAGAAGUUAUCUAAGAAACAUUAUUUUAGUUUUUUGAAACUGCUCUGCAAAAACAUUUCUUUUCAGUUAGUAAUUGCUUAGAGCUUAUAAAGUUGAAUGAAAGAUAAAAUAGAUCUUCCUUUUUUUCAACUACUUAACACAACAAGCAUUCAUUUUUUCCCCUGGAUCUAAACUGGAACUUUUGAAGAAUCUGAUCUUACCUUUCACCCAGAAAGAGGAGGAGAGAUCAAAGAACUCUCUCUGUUACCUUCAGGUAUGCUGCUUCUAUGGUUAUAAAACGUUCCAUGUGUAGGUACUGCUAUCUCUAAGUUUGUGUAUCUGAAAGUAUUACUGAAUAUCUAGUUGCUUAACAUUUCUGUAGUGCUGCAAGAAAAUCUAGAGAAUUAAACCAUGUAAGUAAGAUACAAUUAAAUUCAAUAACUAGAAAAAUGUGAUAACUGUUUGUGCUAACUGGCUAAGAAUUAAUUUCAUUUUUUUUUUUAUUGGUCUGCAGGCACUUGUAUGGUCAAGAAUAAGUUGGAACAAAUAUGGCAUUUGUGCUAAAUCUUCCAAUAAUAAUAAAUGUCACAUUAGAGAAGAGAUAUUUUGACAAUAUUUGAAAUACUAAAAUGAAAUAACCUUAUUAAACAUAUCUGUGAAGCUGCUUACAAACUCCAUGAGGAAAUUUUCUCUCUUUGCUAUAAAGAAAUAGUAAUGUUUGAAAAAUUGUCUGAUGUUGAAAUUCUUAUAUUAGGGCAUUCUGCAUAUAAAAAAGUGAUGACAUGACAGGCUUUUUCACAUUAUGGUUGUUUUCAAAAGAGGAACAGUAAUUUUAAAGUUAUUAAUUGUCUUUUGUUUCUUUACUGGCAAGUUUUCACAGGCAUUUAUUUCAACUAGCAAUGUAGUCAAUUUUUAUCUGUUUUAUGGUCUGAUAGAUGGAGGACGUACAAAUCAAAUAAACAUCAUUAAAGUAGCAUCAGCAUCUAAUCCAUUUAAAUAAAUAUACCCUACAUUUGCAGAUAUAACUCUUUGCAUUGCUGUAAGAAUAAUGGUAAAUAUGAAAAAUAUAAUAUCAAAACAAUAAUUUGUUUUUUUUACCAUAAUGCCAAACAGAGGUAUCCACUGAAAAUAGUGCUUGUAAAAUAACAAUGCUAAACAUGGAUUGUGAAAGGAGAGCCUUUUGAAAAUACUGAUUAAAAAAAAGAAUGAAUGAUAGAAAACUUUCUUUGCAUAAAAGAUGCAAUGUGUCUGUGAAAUAUGUAAGAAGAGAGGCAGGAUCAGAGGUUUGUCUAUGAGAAUAUGAUCAGCAUAAGAUACUUAGGCAGAGAUCCUCAAGAUGACAUCUUUGACAAAGCAUGUCAGUGUUUCCCAGUUUGGUUUUUGCCUCUAGACUAUGAAGGAAAUAGUUUUUCAGUAACAAAUAAUAGUAAAGCCCAUUGAGCUUCACUAUUGUAAUGACAGUUCUGAAGAAAAGUAGGCAUUGCAGAAGACAGAAAAGUGGUGAUCAGAAAGAAUAAUGCCAGUUUGUACAACUAUGGCAAAAGCUCCUUCAAAGCAGAGACAUCAAGGAGAUAGCAUGAACACAUUUGUUUUGAAUACCUAAAAUAAGAGAGGUUUCUUUGCACAACUUUGCUGAAAUGGAAUAUAGGAAGCCAAACAAAUAUUUAAAAAACCUGAUCAUAGCAACCUGAUGAAAAUUUUAUCAGAUGAGCAUAAUCUAUGAUCAUUUAGAGGGUAGAAUUUUGUAGAAUUUUGAAGGGAAAAAGCUGCUGAAGACAGAUCAAGUCAAAGAUGAGGUCUGUAACUACGCACCUGAAUAUAAGAUUUUAGCUAUGCGUUUCCUAUCUGUUACUACUAUGUCUACACUAAAUAUUGUCCAUCCACACAGUUAAGAAAUGGCCUGAAUUUUAAGUGAAAACAUAUGUCCAAUUACAGAAGGAAGAGUUUGUAAAAUAGGAAUUAAUUUGGUAUUUUUUUUUUCAAAAGUUGAUGUCUUAAUAUUUGGAAGUACAGAAUUUGCUGUUGUCUACCUUUCUUUGAAUUAUAAACUCCUCUCUAGUUCCAUGAAUCUGAUUGGGUAGAAAGUUGAAUAAGUUCACUUCAUACUUUUGAUCACUGAUCUCGUCAGUACCUUCUCUGCUUGUACUAUUCUAAUUUGAAUGGGCCAAAAAAGACUUAAGACAUGGGAUAAAAGCUUAAGAAACUUCAAGAACUUAAUUGUGGAAAUACACCAUGAAUGUUUGUGCAAAAUUUGUCACAGAGGUGCAGCCACUUUGGUGAUGAAGGACAUUUUUCACUACAGUGAGAAAGGCUCUGUGGUUAUGCUAUACCAUUAGUCAGCAAGAAUAUUGUGUAAGGUAUGAAGGAGAGGAGGGAGCUCUGGUUUUGGUAGUCUUUUAUUGAAGGGACUGAAGGAUUUGUUAGUCAGACCAUGUUUCAUUUUGGAAGGACUAUUCAUGUAUGGAGGGCAAAGUAGAACUGUUAGUGCAGAACUUAAUUAGUGUUUGUGGGUGAUUUUUUGUAGAAGUGAAACAGAGAUAUAAGGAAAUAGGGCCAAGGAAGGAGUCCUGUGGAGCAAAGGCGGGGAGAGAGGUGUGGGAUACUGUAGGAACCAUAUUCCAAAAAGGUUAUGGAAGAACAUUUUAUGAAAGGGACAGCUUGGAGAAAAUGAAGCUGCCUCACUUUCAAAUAGCUGGAGACUGUGGAGAUACUUGCAUAUAUAUGUGUGACACAACAAUAAUUUUGUGAUGACAGUGAUUGAUUUAUUUUUUGAUUUUGACAAUUGAUUUUUAAGACUGACCAUCAAAUCAUUACAUAUGUGCACAUAUUAGAUUUUGUAUCUGUAUCUGUAAAUAUGCAUAAGCAGCACUGCAUAGGACUUAAAAUCUAGCUCCAGAUGUUAUGUAUUUUUUGUUUUCUACUCAUAAACUAAAAUGAAUGACAGAGACAUUUAUACACAGUCCCAAAAAACAUUCGUGCUGGCAAUUCCUUCCUUGGACAAUAAUGAUAAAUACUCUCUACUUCAUAUGAGAUCAGGAAAUCACUUGCCUUUAAGCCAUCCAAUCUAAGGGUAUUAAUUAUGUAUUACAUCUCAUGAACCUUCUAAAUUUAGAUAGCCUUGCAGGGAUUGGUGUGAUUUAUUAAUAUACUGACAAAUAAUUAGCUGAGGAAUCUAUCAUGUAUAUUUCAUCUGUAGCCUGAAACUUCAACCUCUACCUCUUGGGAACAUGAAAAAUCUAUUAGUCUGUCUAUCACUUCACCAGUUACUGAAGACUGAUUCUUUUCGCCAUUUUGUAUAGCUAAAAUACAACAAGGAAAACUGAUGUUCUGUUGUAUAAAAGUGAUGUUUCAGCACCCCUGAAACUGAUGGUGUAAGUAAUCAUACAUAAGAGUGAAGGAUGCUUCUGAACCAAAGCAAUUAAAGGCUCUUAAUAAAUGGAAGGCUUGAUUAAGCACCUGGUUAUGGUUACUGACAAAUAAUGCACUUACCAAUGCUGGUUUAACUGCUGUUAUGGGAACAAAGGAAGCUGUUUUCAGCACUAUAGCCUAAAGACUUCUGACUGUUUUUACUUUAGCAGAUAUUAAAAGGGUUGCAACUCAACUUCAUUAGCAUUGUUUUGAACAAAGAUUAUGGAGAAUAGAAAUUGAAGAUUAGAUUUCUGAAGUAAUUUUGGUAGAGUAGAAAGACUCCUUAAGUAGAAAUAAUUAGCCACUCUGCAAGCUACUUAUUAAAGAUAUCAGGGUGCACAAAAACUCAUGCAUGCCAACACUGAAGAAACAAUGAAAAUUUUAAAUUCCUAUGUGAAAAGAAUAUGAACAUCGCAAAGUUGAUUACCAACAGUCAGAAAACACAGAGCUAUUCUUGCUUUUGUGGCCUGCAAAGUGUGUGUUUCACUGUUAACAUUGUAAUAUCUUCCAUUCUUUUUUUCUUACUGUUCACACUUCUUGGAGUAUGAAGGACAAUACACUCCACUAUACAACCUCUUUUGUCUGCACUUGUAUUGUCUGACUUAGUCCUGUCUCAUCUCCCUUACCUCUUCUCUCUAGAAAAUAUAUUACAGCUGUCUGUCAUUAUGUGACUUCCAUUUGCUUCCAUCAUUGAGAACUAUCUAGAAAACCAUACUUAGUCUUUUAACACCAAAUUACAGCAUACAGUAUCUCUCUGCAGGGAUGCAGAUGCCUGAUGUCUAGGAGUUCUAAGCAUGUGGAACAUGCUCAGUAAAACUAGGAGCUUCAUCCUAGCUCCCUGCCGAGCUCUUGAUAGUCAAUCCAGAGAACACAUGCAGAUAAGUUCUUCGAGCUCAUAACUUGAAUGAGUACUACUUGCAUCUUAGGUAUACUUACAUUAAACUGUAUAUUUAUAAAAACAGAUCUCUUACCAGGCUCAUGCAGUUUCAGGAAAGAAUGACAGUACAAAUUUAGAAAAAAGCCACAUGUGAAGGAACUAGUAUGAGAGAUGACUCUAAGUGAUUAGUAAAAUGGCAGAGGGGAACAAAAGAUUUUCACUGAUAGUUAUUCCUCUCUCAUCCCUCUAAAACUCCUUCAAUUCUCAUGCUCACAAUAGUUACUAGUGACCUUUUUCCACCGCCAUUUUCCAAGCUGCAAAUUUCCUAUAGUUGACUGCGGCAGCUCUAAAUCCAGAUGGUAGGUUUUGAAAUCCUGGUUCUCAUUUGUACUCCAACAAAGUAAUUAGCAUCCCCUUGCAGCAAAGCACUGUAAAUAAAAUAAAAUUUCUCUCUUCACACUGUGUCAGCUAUUGCUGCUUGGUCAGAGUCACUGUCAGUAAGUAUUCAGACCAUCAUAGAAGGGACAAACGACAUUUGUUGUUUUCAAACCAAAGUUAAAAGGCUCUGAUGAACUUCCUCACAGUGUUGCAAAACAAACAAACAACAACAACAAAACACCAAAAAAACCCACCACCACUUCCAAAUGCCCUUAACUACUGGAAACUGGAUCUGGACUGCUACUAAUGGUCAUGAGUAACAGAUAUUACCUCCUAAAGAAUAGUGAGAACUACUUUAAACUUUUCUGUGAAACAAAUGAGCACAAGUUUGGGAUUUGACAGUAAUUUAUCUUCUCUUUUCUUGAGAAUUCUUUAAAUGAUUUCAAAGCCAUUUAAAAGUGCUCAGUUUCAUUUUGCUGUUGGUAUACUUGUCCUGUUCAUUCACCAUUCUCUACUUCUUUUUUUUGGAAAAAAAGAAAAAAAAAAAAAAGGAAAAAAAAAGUUGUGGUAAACAAUUUCUAUUGGAAUGUACAAAUUGUGUUGCUUUUUGUUUUUAUUUUUUUUAUGACAGCUAAUAUUUGAAAACUUACCAAUGGAUAGAUAUUAAUAACACUGUAUCUUGGGAGGAGAGUUGAAAUUAAUUUGCCUUCACUAUUUGCUAUAUAAAACAAACUAGGAGCAUUUCAUAGCCCCCUACAUGCAGCAUAGGCUUCAGAAUAUGUUUACUGUCAUGUGUACUAAUACAAUUGCUGUUAGCUCAGAGAACCUGUUAGCAUUUUAUAACCUAUUUUAUUAUUAUUAUUAUUAUUUAUUAUUAUUAAUAAUAAGGUUAGA